rnacentral:lncRNA from 1 species
GGUAAUAAGUGCAGCAACACUGAGGCUUAUUGGGCAGCUGGGGUGAAGAGGUAGCACACUGGCCUUGUUGGAAAUUCUGAGUAGCACAGUAAUUAGCACAUGCUGCUUGAUUACAAUUUUUGUUAAUUUCGCACCACACUUGUUUAUUGCCACUUCUUGCUUCUGCAAUGAUAAUAAUUAAACACAAUGUCAUUAGAAUUUGUGUGUGCAAAUUCAGAACUUCGGUUGGUUGGGAUUUUUAUUUAUUUAUUUAUUUAUUUGCUUGCAAACUAAUAACUCUUUUUGGACUAAAAAAUAACAUAUAUAAUUUUUUUUUUUAUAUAUUUACGUUGCNNNNNNNNUUUAGAUUUAAAAAAAAAAGGUUUUAAAUAGAUUCUUAACAAACAAUUCAAGUAUGAAAUAGUGUAUAAAAUUAGGAAUAAUUAUUUCUUACAAAAUAAAGUUGAAAACCAAGAACACUCGAUUGUAUUAUUGUAAUAAAAAUUUGUUUUUUUAUAAAACAAAAAUUUGAAACAAAAGCAUGAUUAUUUAGUUUAGAAAAAUAAAUUAAUGCCUAUACAAUCCUCAUCAACUUAUCAUACCAUCAAAUAACUAGCUAGAAUACUCUAUUAUUUAUUUAUUGCAGAAAAAAAAAACUAUUUUCGAAGAUAUAAUUUUAGUUACUUAAAAAUGAUAAAAAAAAAAUGGUGGUUACUUUCACGAAGACGUCUUCAUGUAUGUAAAGAUAAUAUCAUAAAUAGUUAAAUUAUUCAAAAGAAUAUAUUAAAUUAAAUAUGUCAAAUUAUGUAACGUUUCGUAAUACUAUUUUUAUAUAGACAUACUUUUAUGGAAGUAACCAUUAAAUAAAAUUAAUAAAAGCAUUUUUGUAAUGUCUUUUGUUCAAAUAAAGAGUAAUUUGAUUAAGCUAUGAAACAAUUUUAUAGUUACCUGAAGUCAUCAAAAGCACAUUCACGAAAAGAAUGCAGAAGAACAGCUUUGAGAAUGUGUUGAUAGCCAUUCUAUAAUAAUCACGUUAUGUAUAUUCUCUUGCUUUCUUCAAC